CGUACAGGUUUCCGUAGGUGAACCUGCGGNNGGAUCAUUAAAGAGUAAGGGUGCUCAGCGCCCGACCUCCAACCCUUUGUUGUUAAAACUACCUUGUUGCUUUGGCGGGACCGCUCGGUCUCGAGCCGCUGGGGAUUCGUCCCAGGCGAGCGCCCGCCAGAGUUAAACCAAACUCUUGUUAUUUAACCGGUCGUCUGAGUUAAAAUUUUGAAUAAAUCAAAACUUUCAGCAACGGAUCUCUUGGUUCUCGCAUCGAUGAAGAACGCAGCGAAAUGCGAUAAGUAAUGUGAAUUGCAGAAUUCAGUGAAUCAUCGAAUCUUUGAACGCACAUUGCGCCCCUUGGUAUUCCGAGGGGCAUGCCUGUUCGAGCGUCAUUACACCACUCAAGCUAUGCUUGGUAUUGGGCGUCGUCCUUAGUUGGGCGCGCCUUAAAGACCUCGGCGAGGCCACUCCGGCUUUAGGCGUAGUAGAAUUUAUUCGAACGUCUGUCAAAGGAGAGGAACUCCGCCGACUGAAACCUUUAUUUUUCUAGGUUGACCUCGGAUCAGGUAGGGAUACCCGCUGAACUUAAGCAUAUCA
rnacentral:rRNA from 1 species